rnacentral:lncRNA from 1 species
GAGCAAUACAGCCUCUUCCCUUUCCUCAUCGUAGCUACCCAGGAAGGCAUCGAGCUUGAGGAAGAGGCCCCAUUCAUCUCCGUACCCCAGGCCCUGGUACACAGCAGGCAGAUAAACCUGCCAGUAAUUUCAGCAAAUGAAACGUGGAACACGUCAAGGCCAGAGGAUGGAAAAGGCUCCAGUUUUGAUAAAAGGAGGCCUGCUUGGCUUGGAAUCCUCUCUCCUGCUGGUUGGGAGAUGCAAAGAUGUUUCCAGAGAGGGGCUGAUGAAUUGAGGGGAAAGAAAUGAGCCCAGUAUGAGUCCCCUUUCAGGGCUGAGCGUGUAUAAAACCAAACAACUUGGAACCGCUCCAAGAGAGGGGAUUAAAGCAACAUGUUAUUCUGAGUGA